rnacentral:rRNA from 1 species
CGUAGGGUGCGAGCGUUAAUCGGAAUUACUGGGCGUAAAGCGUGCGCAGGCGGUUAUAUAAGACAGAUGUGAAUCCCCGGGCUCAACCUGGGAACUGCAUUUGUGACUGUAUAGCUAGAGUACGGCAGAGGGGGAUGGAAUUCCGCGUGUAGCAGUGAAAUGCGUAGAUAUGCGGAGGAACACCGAUGGCGAAGGCAAUCCCCUGGGCCUGUACUGACGCUCAUGCACGAAAGCGUGGGGAGCAAACAGGAUUAGAUACCCUGGUAGUCCACGCCCUAAACGAUGUCAACUGGUUGUUGGGUCUUCACUGACUCAGUAACGAAGCUAACGCGUGAAGUUGACCGCCUGGGGGAGUACGGCCGCAAGGUUG